rnacentral:misc_RNA from 1 species
GAUGAAGAACGUAGCGAAAUGCGAUAAGUAAUGUGAAUUGCAGAAUCCAGUGAAUCAUCGAAUCUUUGAACGCACAUUGCGCCCGCCAGCAUUCUGGCGGGCAUGCCUGUUCGAGCGUCAUUUCAACCCUCGACCUCCCUUUGGGGAAGUCGGCAUUGGGGACCGGCAGCACACCGCCGGCCCUGAAAUGGAGUGGCGGCCCGUCCGCGGCGACCUCUGCGUAGUAAACCAACUCGCACCGGAACCCCGACGUGGCCACGCCGUAAAACACCCAACUUCUGAACGUUGACCUCGAAUCAGGUAGGACUACCCGCUGAACUUAAGCAUAUCAAUAAGCGGAGGA